AUGCUCAAGGUACAAUGCUCUAUCUCCUCUGUAAAUAUCAUGGCGGAAUCAACACAUUGUUUUCCAGUCAAUGCUUCCGGAUAUUUCUCUAUCACCAUCUUAUGGUUACUGGAAGUAACAUUUUGGAAGAACAAGUUCGACAAGGAUGAUCUUGUUUGCUAUAAUCCUGAGCAUUUAUUGCUUAUAGACCCUGCAAGUGUUUGUGUGAGCAGGCUCAGUUUUUUGUGCACAAACUGUCAUUUCAGCAUUUGGUUGGACGAUAGUAGUAGAAGUGUUGGGCAGCUGAAUGUUAAUAGUAAUUUGAACAAGAUAGUGCAGUUGAACCGUGGUGUUCUUCAUACUCAUAUGCAGGGAGGCUACUUGAUACAUCAUGAUUGGGGACAAGGAUUGCAUAGUGGACAACAAGUCACCUAG
rnacentral:rRNA from 1 species